GGCGGGGCGGGCCGAUACCCGGCUUCUGCGCUCGGUCUUUGGGUGGGCUCCGGAGGCGUUCAGGCUGCAGGGGCCGCGGUCGGCACGGCCGCCUCCCCUCCGCGGCGCUCCGGCGCCCCCUUCGGGACUUGUUGAGACAAGAGAGGCAGAGGCACAGGCGGAGGGAGGAGGAGCAGGCUCCACGCAGGGAGCCCGACGCGGGACUCGAUCCCAGGUCUCCAGGAUCACACCCCGGGCUGAAGACGCACGCUCCACCGUUGAGCCACCAGGGCGACCUAAGAUGCAGCUGUUUAAUGAGACAAUGGCCAGGUCCCAGGCUGCCUUCCUGCCUGAGUGAGCACCACGAUGUCUAGCUUGGCAUUGGCUCUAGGAAGCCCGGGUGCAAAAGAAUGGGCUCACAAGGGGGCAUUGCCUCCUUUUUCCCUACUUACAGUUUCUCAAAACAAGGGUCAGGUGGGAAGCAAAGGCAGUAGUGGCACGAUAUUAAUUUUGUAGUUGUAAGUUUCUGUAGUAAAAAGUGAGGUCUUCAAUCUCAAGGGCUAAUCUUGGUGGCGCUCGGUCUCUCCCUCUCGCAGAACUCUAAAGUGUGGCUCCGUGUCUCAGCGAUGGGACCGUUCGUUGCUUGUCACACUCUUGAUUCUUAGCCAGUGACAAAGACUCAACUGGAAGGGAAAAUGAUACACAUUUUAACCCACACAGCGUAAGAGCUAAUUAAAAAGAAUACAUUAACCACAACACGGGGUGCUUUUAAGCAUAUUAAGGACUGUUUGAAUGCAGUAACAAUUUCACAUUGCCCUUAUAGCAGCCCUGGCUAUAUAGCGCUGUAGGCUUUCUAGAGCUGUUGAAGAACAACAUGGAUGGCUUCCUGCAACCAAAACAACAAAAUUGUUACAAUUGUUUUCUCUGUAGUCAUCCUACAGUCCCACGGCACUGAUUCAUCUGUACAACACAUACUGAAUGAUCUGUGUGCCAAGCUUAGUGCUUGGUAACAGGUUACAGGAUGACAUUAUGGAACUCAUGUGCUAGUGGAGGAUCUAGACCACAAAGAAAAGUUGGAUGGCUGUAGUAUGUGCUGUAAAGGAAAUAAACAGGGUGAUGUCAUAGAGACUAAGUGGGGGAGGCCCUUCUGAAGAAGUGAUAGUUUGUGCUGAAACCUGAAGGUAGCAAGGAGCCAAGUGAGAAGAGCUAUCAAGAGAACACUGUGCCCAUUCAAAUCAUUGAUGUUCUCACUCCUGAUCUAUGCUCUGCUUGCUUCAUUAUUUUUCUCGUUUCCUGUUUUUUGUUUUUUUUUUUAUGUCAAGAAGCUAGUCUUUUCUAGAAAUCAGAAGUUAAUUAGAACAUUUCUGCUAUAUUGGUCUAAUCUUUAAGUCCCUUUAGAUGUAUGGUUUUGUGCUUUCUCAAUAAACAGCACUAGUAAACCAC